ACCGAUAUGGUGCAGUGGUGAGUUUUUCUUCUCCUUAUUCGUUGCCUGUGACCUGAACUAACAGCUUUAUAGGUUAGCAUAUUGGAUUUUCAGAGUUUGGAAACCUCCAAAGACAGGAGUUCAAACCUCCUUAUCGGUG